rnacentral:rRNA from 1 species
CAGCCGCCGCGGUAAUACGAAGGGGGCUAGCGUUGUUCGGAUUUACUGGGCGUAAAGCGCACGUAGGCGGAUCCUUAAGUCAGAGGUGAAAUCCCAAGGCUCAACCUUGGAACUGCCUUUGAUACUGGGGAUCUCGAGUUCGGGAGAGGUGAGUGGAACUGCGAGUGUAGAGGUGAAAUUCGUAGAUAUUCGCAAGAACACCAGUGGCGAAGGCGGCUCACUGGCCCGAUACUGACGCUGAGGUGCGAAAGCGUGGGGAGCAAACAGGAUUAGAUACCCGCGUAGUCCCUGUCUCUUAUAC